GGUUAAGCGACUAAGCGUACACGGUGGAUGCCCUGGCAGUCAGAGGCGAUGAAGGGCGUGCUAAUCUGCGAUAAGCGCCGGUAAGGUGAUAUGAACCGUUAUAACCGGCGAUACCCGAAUGGGGAAACCCAGUGUGAUUCGUCACACUAUCAUUAACUGAAUCCAUAGGUUAAUGAGGCGAACCGGGGGAACUGAAACAUCUAAGUACCCCGAGGAAAAGAAAUCAACCGAGAUUCCCCCAGUAGCGGCGAGCGAACGGGGAGGAGCCCAGAGCCUGAAUCAGCAUGUGUGUUAGUGGAAGCGUCUGGAAAGGCGCGCGAUACAGGGUGACAGCCCCGUACACAAAAGCGCAUGUGCUGUGAGCUCGAUGAGUAGGGCGGGACACGUGGUAUCCUGUCUGAAUAUGGGGGGACCAUCCUCCAAGGCUAAAUACUCCUGACUGACCGAUAGUGAACCAGUACCGUGAGGGAAAGGCGAAAAGAACCCCGGCGAGGGGAGUGAAAAAGAACCUGAAACCGUGUACGUACAAGCAGUGGGAGCCCCACCACUAAGCCAGUGGUGAACUCCACAUACGCAUCCUUUGCUGAGGAUACGGUUAACGGAGCGAAAGCGACGUUCAACCGCAAAAGAAGCAGAGGGGGCUUAGUGGUGGGGUGACUGCGUACCUUUUGUAUAAUGGGUCAGCGACUUAUAUUCUGUAGCAAGGUUAACCGAAUAGGGGAGCCGGAGGGAAACCGAGUCUUAACCGGGCGUUAAGUUGCAGGGUAUAGACCCGAAACCCGGUGAUCUAGCCAUGGGCAGGUUGAAGGUUGGGUAACACUAACUGGAGGACCGAACCGACUAAUGUUGAAAAAUUAGCGGAUGACCUGUGGCUGGGGGUGAAAGGCCAAUCAAACCGGGAGAUAGCUGGUUCUCCCCGAAAGCUAUUUAGGUAGCGCCUCGUGAAUUCAUCUCCGGGGGUAGAGCACUGUUUCGGCUAGGGGGCCAUCCCGGCUUACCAACCCGAUGCAAACUGCGAAUACCGGAGAAUGUUAUCACGGGAGACACACGGCGGGUGCUAACGUCCGUCGUGAAGAGGGAAACAACCCAGACCGCCAGCUAAGGUCCCAAAGUCAUGGUUAAGUGGGAAACGAUGUGGGAAGGCCCAGACAGCCAGGAUGUUGGCUUAGAAGCAGCCAUCAUUUAAAGAAAGCGUAAUAGCUCACUGGUCGAGUCGGCCUGCGCGGAAGAUGUAACGGGGCUAAACCAUGCACCGAAGCUGCGGCAGCGAACGUAUCACUUAAAGCGAUUCAGCGGGUUACGAUUGACGGAGCGAAGCGACGUCAAAGCGUAUACAAAGUCGAGUCGGUUUAAGGAUACGUUCGUUGGGUAGGGGAGCGUUCUGUAAGCCUGUGAAGGUGGCCUGUGAGGGUUGCUGGAGGUAUCAGAAGUGCGAAUGCUGACAUAAGUAACGAUAAAGCGGGUGAAAAGCCCGCUCGCCGGAAGACCAAGGGUUCCUGUCCAACGUUAAUCGGGGCAGGGUGAGUCGACCCCUAAGGCGAGGCCGAAAGGCGUAGUCGAUGGGAAACGGGUUAAUAUUCCCGUACUUGGUGUUACUGCGAAGGGGGGACGGAGAAGGCUAUGUUGGCCGGGCGACGGUUGUCCCGGUUUAAGCGUGUAGGUGUGUGUUCCAGGUAAAUCCGGUUCACUUUAACACUGAGGCGUGAUGACGAGGCACUACGGUGCUGAAGUAACAAAUGCCCUGCUUCCAGGAAAAGCCUCUAAGCAUCAGGUAACAUCAAAUCGUACCCCAAACCGACACAGGUGGUCAGGUAGAGAAUACCAAGGCGCUUGAGAGAACUCGGGUGAAGGAACUAGGCAAAAUGGUGCCGUAACUUCGGGAGAAGGCACGCUGACACGUAGGUGAAGUGAUUUACUCACGGAGCUGAAGUCAGUCGAAGAUACCAGCUGGCUGCAACUGUUUAUUAAAAACACAGCACUGUGCAAACACGAAAGUGGACGUAUACGGUGUGACGCCUGCCCGGUGCCGGAAGGUUAAUUGAUGGGGUCAGCGCAAGCGAAGCUCCUGAUCGAAGCCCCGGUAAACGGCGGCCGUAACUAUAACGGUCCUAAGGUAGCGAAAUUCCUUGUCGGGUAAGUUCCGACCUGCACGAAUGGCGUAAUGAUGGCCAGGCUGUCUCCACCCGAGACUCAGUGAAAUUGAACUCGCUGUGAAGAUGCAGUGUACCCGCGGCAAGACGGAAAGACCCCGUGAACCUUUACUAUAGCUUGACACUGAACAUUGAGCCUUGAUGUGUAGGAUAGGUGGGAGGCUUUGAAGUGUGGACGCCAGUCUGCAUGGAGCCGACCUUGAAAUACCACCCUUUAAUGUUUGAUGUUCUAACGUGGACCCGUUACCCGGGUUGCGGACAGUGUCUGGUGGGUAGUUUGACUGGGGCGGUCUCCUCCUAAAGAGUAACGGAGGAGCACGAAGGUUGGCUAAUCCUGGUCGGACAUCAGGAGGUUAGUGCAAUGGCAUAAGCCAGCUUGACUGCGAGCGUGACGGCGCGAGCAGGUGCGAAAGCAGGUCAUAGUGAUCCGGUGGUUCUGAAUGGAAGGGCCAUCGCUCAACGGAUAAAAGGUACUCCGGGGAUAACAGGCUGAUACCGCCCAAGAGUUCAUAUCGACGGCGGUGUUUGGCACCUCGAUGUCGGCUCAUCACAUCCUGGGGCUGAAGUAGGUCCCAAGGGUAUGGCUGUUCGCCAUUUAAAGUGGUACGCGAGCUGGGUUUAGAACGUCGUGAGACAGUUCGGUCCCUAUCUGCCGUGGGCGCUGGAGAACUGAGGGGGGCUGCUCCUAGUACGAGAGGACCGGAGUGGACGCAUCACUGGUGUUCGGGUUGUCAUGCCAAUGGCACUGCCCGGUAGCUAAAUGCGGAAGAGAUAAGUGCUGAAAGCAUCUAAGCACGAAACUUGCCCCGAGAUGAGUUCUCCCUGAGACUUAAAGUCUCCUGAAGGAACGUUGAAGACGACGACGUUGAUAGGCCGGGUGUGUAAGCGCAGCGAUGCGUUGAGCUAACCGGUACUAAUGAACCGUGAGGCUUAACCCU
rnacentral:rRNA from 1 species